UGGGGAAUUUUGGACAAUGGGCGAAAGCCUGAUCCAGCAAUGCCGCGUGUGUGAAGAAGGCCUUCGGGUUGUAAAGCACUUUUGUCCGGAAAGAAAUCCUUGGCUCUAAUACAGUCGGGGGAUGACGGUACCGGAAGAAUAAGCACCGGCUAACUACGUGCCAGCAGCCGCGGUAAUACGUAGGGUGCAAGCGUUAAUCGGAAUUACUGGGCGUAAAGCGUGCGCAGGCGGUUUGCUAAGACCGAUGUGAAAUCCCCGGGCUCAACCUGGGAACUGCAUUGGUGACUGCAAGGCUAGAGUAUGGCAGAGGGGGGUAGAAUUCCACGUGUAGCAGUGAAAUGCGUAGAGAUGUGGAGGAAUACCGAUGGCGAAGGCAGCCCCCUGGGCCAAUACUGACGCUCAUGCACGAAAGCGUGGGGAGCAAACAGGAUUAGAUACCCUGGUAGUCCACGCCCUAAACGAUGUCAACUGGUUGUUGGGGAUUCAUUUCCUUAGUAACGUAGCUAACGCGUGAAGUUGACCGCCUGGGGAGUACGGUCGCAAGAUU
rnacentral:rRNA from 1 species